rnacentral:SRP_RNA from 1 species
UUCAAUAAAAAGCUAUGAAUCUCGUCAGGUUCGGAAGAAAGCAGCGAUAAGUAGUGCAUUUAUGUGAA